rnacentral:rRNA from 1 species
CCUACGGGAGGCAGCAGUGGGGAAUAUUGCGCAAUGGGCGAAAGCCUGACGCAGCGACGCCGCGUGAGGGAUGAAGGUCUUCGGAUCGUAAACCUCUGUCAGCAGGGAGGAACGGUCACUGUGCUAAUCAGCAGUGACUUGACGGUACCUGCAAAGGAAGCACCGGCUAACUCCGUGCCAGCAGCCGCGGUAAUACGGAGGGUGCGAGCGUUAAUCGGAAUUACUGGGCGUAAAGCGCUCGUAGGCGGUAUGUCAAGUCAAGGGUGAAAUCCCCGCGCUCAACGUGGGAACUGCCUUUGAAACUGGCAAACUGGAGUGUGUGAGAGGAUAGUGGAAUUCCAGGUGUAGGAGUGAAAUCCGUAGAGAUCUGGAGGAACAUCAGUGGCGAAGGCGACUAUCUGGCACAUAACUGACGCUGAGGAGCGAAAGCGUGGGUAGCAAACAGGAUUAGAUACCCUGGUAGUC